rnacentral:rRNA from 1 species
GACGAACGCUGGCGGCGUGCUUAACACAUGCCAGUCGAACGGAAAGGCCCUGCUUGCAGGGUACUCGAGUGGCGAACGGGUGAGUAACACGUGGGUGAUCUGCCCUGCACUUCGGGAUAAGCCUGGGAAACUGGGUCUAAUACCGGAUAGGAGCCAUUUUUAGUGUGAUGGUUGGAAAGUUUUUUCGGUGUAGGAUGAGCUCGCGGCCUAUCAGCUUGUUGGUGGGGUAAUGGCCUACCAAGGCGGCGACGGGUAGCCGGCCUGGGAGGGUGGACGGCCACAUUGGGACUGAGAUACGGCCCAGACUCCUACGGGAGGCAGCAGUGGGGAAUAUUGCACAAUGGGCGCGAGCCUGAUGCAGCGACGCCGCGUGGGGGAUGACGGCCUUCGGGUUGGAAACUCCUUUCGCUAGGGACGAAGCUUUUUGUGACGGUACCUAGAUAAGAAGCACCGGCUAACUACGUG